rnacentral:tRNA from 1 species
GCGGAAGUAGUUCAGUGGCAGAAUACAACCUUGCCAAGGUUGGGGUCGCGGGUUCGAAUCCCGUCUUCCGCUCCA